AAGUCACACAAAUCCAAACCACGCUCAAACCUCUUCCUUCACCGUCGCCGGAGUAUCGAUAGCAGGAACAGUGAUAUAGCCCAUCUUCUUCGGGUUCACAUCAUCAGCACCAUCAAAAUCAUCAUCUGAAUCAUGGAAUUCGAAGCUGUUGGGAUCGGCGAAAAGAGACUAAUCAGGUACAGAGUUCCGGCAGUGAUGGCACCACAAGCGACGCCUAACAACAGAGAUCCAACGUCCUUGAGAAUGCCCUUGGUGCGAUUGUGUAACGAGGCGUGGAAACCGAGAGGCAGGGGUCGAAUUUCUUUAUCGAUUUUGGAUCGAUGGACAAAGUGAAAUGGGUGAAAGGGGAGGAGUGUGAGUUUGGGAUUGAAAUCUCUGGAUUGGGUGAAGAAAAAGGUGAGGGAUGGGCCGGUGGAGGUGGGCUUUGGGGAGAGAAAUUAGGGUUUUGAUGGAGGAGGGGGUUGGAGGUAGAGGUGGUGGUGAAGAAGAUUAGGGUUUUGCAGAGGUGAAAUUUACAACCUGGCCUUGCGUUGGCUGAGAUGGCGAGGAGAGCUAGCAGGAUUGAUAAUCGGAUGAGGAGGAGAUGAUGACUCGAAAUCGCCAUUGGAGAUAGAGAAUUGUGAAGAAUCUGACUGAAUGGUAGCCACGAAGAAUUGUAUUACACAGAUCUCUCUCUAUCUCUCUAAUCUCUAGUUAUCUUAUAUUAAUGGGUGGUGACGGCAAGGUCUUUACUUUGGCUGAGGUCUCCGAGCACAACAACCCCAAGGACUGUUGGCUUGUCAUCGAUGGGGAGCUGUUUUUCUUAGAAUUUGAUUAUGUUGAAGAAGAAAAAUUGUUCAUUUAAGGGUUGGUAUGUGAGGAAGGAAGGAAGGAUACAAUGUGAUGAAGGAAGGAUAUGUUGUUACUUGGUUUGUUUGUUCUCAUGAGCGAUUAAGAGGCAGUGGUGAUGAUAUUGCAGCCGCAAGGAUAGGUGCAAAGUUAAAUGUUGUAGGGUGGAUUUCUGAACAAAUGGGUGGCGUUAGGUUAGCUAUCUGGACUGUUAUCUAUUGAUUUGAAUUGCUUGUUUGACUGAAUGGUGUAUGGUGGUGUCAUUUGUCAGCUUGUUGGUUUAAAAUUUUCUUGCUAUUGUAUCUGGACGAGAACAAAUUGUUGAUUUUUAAGAUUGUCGAGAGCUAGAAUUCGGGGACACUAAGCGCGUGUAUAGAGUAAGAGUCAUCUGUUUCCUCCCCCCCUCUCUUUCUCUCUCUCUCUCUACCUUAGAUUCUAAUCUUUUGCAAUUUAAUAUACAA